AAUAGAGUUAGUUUAAUAGUUAAUUUUGGAACGUUAAGUACAGGCAAUGAGGUUAGCGAAGGUCUUGAUAUUUAUCGUAGUAGCAUUUUUGCCUCUUUUGGUGUAUGGUCGAGGUAAAAAAAACCGCUGGGGUUGUGCCACCAAUGCAGAGUGCAUACCGUCCUGCCGUCGAACAUGCUCGAACUUCAUGAUACCGCUGUGCUUCAACAACCAAUGCUACUGCCAGGCGUUUGGCCAGGCAUUGGGCCAGGCGUUCGGCUACCCUAACCGAUCAAAUCUGGGUCCUAGGAAACCAGAUGAAAUGUUUGACUAUAAUGUUAAAAUAAAACAAAAGUAAAAUAAGUAGCUAAUUAUUUUUUUUAAAGUUUUAUUGCAAAGAAACAUGUUUGAUGACUAAAAGUAAAAAAAAAAAAAUUAAGUAGGUCCAAGGUACCAGUCUUUAAUACCACUUUCCUCAUCAAUCUAGACUUCAGACCCCUAGAACAUUGUUUAGAAUUUAGACUAAAAUAAAAUCGUAGGGCGAAGCGUAAUCUGAAUAAAUAGAAAUUCGAUUAGCCCCAGAUUGUAAUUCGUAAGAUUUUCGCCUGACCAAUGCUGUAGACCCUAAAUUGAUUAGAAGAGUGGUGUGGCACACGGUAAAAUUAUUCGCUUAAAGAAAAGAGGGUGAAAAGAUACCGACAAUGCAUUACAAAUAUCUUUUUAUAAUGCAUUGUCGGUAUCUUUCGGUACAGAUCAUGCGUAAAUGAGUUAUGGGCAAAUACUUUGUUGUAUGCACUGGUAAGUGAAUAAUUUUGCUGUGUGUACCUGGUAUCUACCUACCUAAUUAUUUUUUAGCUUUUAGUACAUUAUCUGCAUCAUUAUUAAGUCUAAAGUAAAGAUCUAAUUUUUAACCUGGUGGUUUUUUGGUAAAAUAAACAGAAUUACAACUAA